rnacentral:rRNA from 1 species
CAUCUAGGCGGGAUGUUAAGUCAGGUGUGAAAUUCCACGGCUCAACCGUGGACCUGCAUUUGAUACUGGCAUUCUUGAGUUCGGUAGAGGAAGGCGGAAUUCCCGGUGUAGCGGUGAAAUGCGUAGAUAUCGGGAAGAACACCGGUGGCGAAGGCGGCCUUCUGGACCUGGACUGACGCUGACAUGCGAAAGUGUGGGGGAUCAAACG